CCGCCAUGUUUUCGAAUGUUGACAUCACAUGAUCGGGCACGUGUCAUAUUACACUUCCUGGUUGACCGUGGAAUAUACGUUGUCGAACCCAUAUCACUCCAUUUGCAAAGUAGAUUGUUCGGCGUCGUUGAUAUUUUAUCCAGGAAAAUGUCGGGCGGAUAUGGAAGGCCACCUCAAAAUGUGGAUGAUAUGGCAUCGUUGAAGGUUGACAAUUUAACUUAUAGGACCACUCCGGAGGAUUUACGCAGGUCAUUUGAGAAAUACGGAGAUGUUGGCGACGUUUACAUCCCCCGUGACAGAUUUACCCGCGAAAGCCGUGGUUUUGCCUUUGUUCGAUUCUACGACAAGCGGGAUGCCGAAGAUGCAAUGGAUGCGAUGGAUGGAGCCAUCAUGGAUGGAAGAGAACUAAGAGUACAGAUGGCUAGAUAUGGCAGACCAGCUGAGCCUAGACGCGGUGGUCCACGGAGAUCGUAUGGCGGGGGUGGCGGCGGUGGCGGAUACAGAGGAUCUCGAGGAAGAAGGGACAGCAGAAGGCACUCCAGAUCGUACAGUAGAUCUCGCAGCAGAUCUCGCAGCCGGUCUUACAGCAGAAGUCGCAGCAGAAGUCGUGGUGGUAAAGCAAGCAGAAGUCCAUCAAAGAGCAGGAGCAGAAGCCGUAGCAGAUCUGUGUCCAAGUCUCCAGCAUCUUAGACUUGGAUGCUUUGAUAUUACAAGAAUGCUGACCUUCCUUGAACAGUUUUCUCAUGGACCUGGCAGCUUUGCAUCUCCUUCCUCUGCUGUGGAAAGGCGCAGUAGCUGUGCUGAUAAUUUAGCUGAGUUGGGGUAUGCUGUCAUGAGCAGUGCCGAGAGCAGUAGCCCAGGUUGCUGUGCAGAUAAUUUAGCUGUUUGGGGUUGGAGUCUGCUGUCAGUGGCUUGAAGUGUGAGCUGGUCUGAUUAAUGGCUGCACCGAGAGCCGUGGCCCAGAGAGCCAGCGGGAAAGGGCAGGAAUUCACCUCUGAAUGCUGCCAGCAACACACUAGGUCCGAGAAUGCCAAUUCUAAUACUUGAAUUGCAAUAACAUUAAUUGCACUGCAGCAUGAUAUUUAUUUUGGCCUAUACUUUUUUCAACCAUAUGAAAUUUUUAUUUUCACACAGUGACAUCAGACGAAUUUUUUGUUUCCAUUUCAUUUUUGAAUCAAAAAAGAACACUGUACACAUGUUGCAGUUAUUUAGUUUGGACUCCAUUUAAAUCAAAAUUUACUCGUUCAGAUCUGUUGUUUCACAGAUAUGAGAUUAAACUUUUUUUUUUUUUUUUUUUGUUAAAUGUUUAAAUAGAAAUUGGUUGCAGGACAAAAUUCGACAAAAUUUACUCUACAAUAAUAGAUUAUAUUUCAGUUUUUUUUUUUUUUUCCUUGAAUUUUUCUUUCAUAUCAUUUAUUUUUGGGGGUUGGGGGGGAGGGGCAGAGUAUUGACGUUAAUGUAUCAAAAUGUGGGGUUUAUUUUUUGGUGUACGCCCCAGCUUGUUGCUCCAGUGCUGCACAUUUUCACUUUCCAAGCAUGAUGACAUUCUCCUGAUUAAAUUGUUGAAGUGUGUGAUUGUCUCCUUACCUUUAAUAUCACAGGUACUUUGAAAUUGAGUAACCAUGUUGUGUGCAGAUGAGGGAGGUUUCGAUGGGCACCAGGAUUUUUUUCUUGGAGCAGGGCAGUAUUCUGAAAGGGUGAUAUGUCCCCAAUUUCAGGGCCUUGGGUAAUGAGUUGCACUGGGCAUGUGACUUCUGUCACGUGACAGUGCUGAGAAAUGCACUUUUCACUACUUGGAAGAUGCUGUUGCAUUUCCCUUUCCAACUUUUUAGAUUGAUCUAGGUGUGGAACAAAGACUGAAGCUGCAGGUAAGUUAAACAAGGAUAAGGUCAGUAUGGCAGGGGUUUGCUUUUGUUUCCACUUUUGUAAAGAAGCAACAAGAUGCAGAUUAAAAGGUCACCUACAAGAGCAAAAAGGUCUUGCACUGGAUAUUACAUGCUUUUAAGCCAUUCCAGCAUUUGUGGAUGGAAGACCUGACAUUAAAGUAUCUUUGGGAACAUGACCAGAAACCCAGUUGUCGCAUCUAUUUUGUCUAAUGCAUUUCGCAGUAAGCGAGCAAACAGUAUGCAGAUGGUGGACUUCAUAUGUUAUGGUGAAUCCAAAGAUGAACUUCACUACUAGGGAACACAUUGAAUACUGAAGUUUAAAUAAUAAAAUGAUGAAAA